ensembl:lncRNA
AAGCCAUUGUUAUCUAUGAUGUUCCGUCUUACAAAAGGAACAAUGAUAAAAAAAAAAAUGAUAAUGUUGAUUGUUUUCUGUGUACAAUUGGACAGGAGUGUUCUGUGUCUUGAUAUUCCGUAUCUGUUAGGGAUUGACAUGGAAACGAGACUCCAAUGUCCAGUUUGGUUUAAACUGAAACCAGUGUCCUAAAAGGGAAACACCGGCCAAAGCCGUGAUCACAUUCAUACAUGUAUUAUGACACAUACUCCUUUGUCGACCAUAUGAGUCCCUCAUGUCUACAAAUGCACUUAUGAGGAAGUGAGAGACAGGCCAAGCUGAGGGACACAUUGUACCAGUAGAGUUGGGGGUAGACACCCAUUGGUCUCAGUAGGAGUCUCCCUUCCAGGUAAGUUGUGGGUGGGCAUGUUGAACGGUCCAUCCUGGAAAGUAUAUGUCUCCAUUCCUGAUGGUGGAUAGCAUUUCCUUCUUGAGCUACUAGCACACAGUGACAUGUCCACUGUUGUUUCCCAGCAAGGACAGCGGGCCGAAGAAAGUGACAUUAAUACAGGCCCUGAGUACAGAUUCUAUAACAGAGUGAUUACAGACUGGGAACUGAGAAUCCUGCAGCUUCGAGAUGGAAAGCAUGUUGGGUUUAGAUUCGUUAUGGCUACUUCUACGCCAAGCUUUGGUUCCAUUUCUUUGCUUCCUACACAUCUACAAAAUGUGUGAAACUACAAAAUGUUUGCUGAAUAAACCUUUAUUUGGAGUUUGCAAUGUUUUAAGGAAUUACAAAUAUGUUCAUUAUGUCAGCCAUGGUAUUUCAUUAUUGAGUAUGUUAUAAAAGUGUUGGGGAAAAAAACAUUGCCAUUUUUACCACAUUAUUUAUUAUUAAAAUGUCUUAAAAUGCCGCCGUCCCGUUUGAGAUGUCUUCUUUUUGGCGGUUGCGUCUUCGUUCGCUAGUCGAUUUCUCCAGCCUUUCAUCAGGCGAUAUCUCCUAACCCAAGGUUGGAGUGAAGACGGAAGUUGGGUGAAGCAGGGGGAGUGCCACCCAAAAGCCUGUUCUUCAUGGCAAUGCUGCUUAAUUAACCUCCAUCAUGAACCCUGGUGGUUAAUUAAGGGAGCAGCUGUGUGCUGUCAAAGGGAAAGAAAUGCUCCGGAGCCUAGCGCACAGGUGUGGCUCUCUGGCUCUUUGUGUGCCGUGUAUGUGUAGUCAGGGGUAGAUGACAGUAACGUUACAGUCUUAAGCGGCAGCCAAAACCUUCUCUUUGUCCUCCACGGUGAGUAAGAUUGUGAUUGAGAGGAAGAAGCUGUCAAUCAGCCACCCACAUACAGAUUACUCCAGAAAGAUUCUAGCCUGUUCCUCAUUGUUUAACUCCCAAGUACGUCUCAGCAUAAUCAACCAGAGAGAGGACAGAUGCUGAGCUUCCGGAAGUUCCAUUGCUGAUGGAACCACACAAAGGCAUUCCGUGAUAGAUGGGACAGACGGCUGAAACGACUGGGGCUUCUCUUUCCUGUCAUCAGAGUGGAAGGAAACCAGUGUCCCUGCUGCUGUAUUGGGCAUUCUGUAAAGGCUAGCUACGCUGAUGUCUGCAGUGCUAAUUCAGUACCAUAAGGGGUCAACACAAUUAACCCAGAAAGACCAUACUAUAGUCACUGCUGCUCCUAGCCCACUUUAUCCGCCGGCUCAGUCUAAUCCCCUGGGCUCUCCUAGUAGGACUUGCUGAGUGAGUCAUACACAGGCAUUUCCAUCCAUAUUACUCGUCCCAUUAAUUAUGUCUUAAUCUAUAUUUCCCCCGCACAAUUUAGUUGUCUGUGAGAAGAGAUGAAUCAGAUUUACUGCUUUAAGUUAACAGCAAAGUGUCCGAGAAGAGGCCUUAUGACAGGUAGGCGUGAGUUAUUUGUCCCAGUCAUUCUGGUGGCUCUCCACUUCAAUUCAAUAUGGCUAAAUUAUCCAGAUACAUUACAGUAACUGGUUUAAAAUCGAACACGCGUGCACAUCCGCAUCCUUGGCCAUCAGAGUGUUGUGCAGCCUUUGAUGAUGGAUCACAGCCGCGGCGAGACACGCUUUUCCUGUCAGCAUCAGCAAAUAACCAGAGUCCAUCCAUCUUCAUUAUGCCCUAGCGUGGACAGCCACGGAGCCACUACCCAGGGAGAGGGCAUUACUGGUAAUGGAGUCUUUAGAGCAGUCCUAAGAGACUGGGACUGCUGGCUGGCUUCCAUGGGACUCCAGCUACACUGGAAUCCCACGGUUGCAUUCAGAGCGUGAAGAGGCUCUUUGACACCUGCUUUAAGUUCGCAAACCAACAAACGCCAAGCACUGCUUAAACGCGGGCGGCAUUGCCCUUGAAUGAGUGCAGCUCGAUUUUCGGUUUCUAGAGGUGUCCGUCAUCGCUGAUCACAGCUAGUGUUGGGAUUGCCUUUUGGCCAGAUAUUAAAAUGAAUCGAUUUUAAUUUGCAACCGUAAGCUGAAUAAGGAUUAUUUUCUGAAAUAGUCACUGUCCUGGUCCAUGACUGAAGUGGUCCGUCCUUCAUCGGUGUUGCUCUCCAUGUAUCACCCGUAUAUAUAUAUAUAUAUAUAUCGUGUAUAUGUAUAUACCAACAGGCCUACCCCAGUAUUACAGCACUCACAGCAGAGCAGUGCAUCUCAGUGGGGGGCAGAGGAGGAGAUAGUGAGGGGUAAUCCCUGUCACAUCCUCCCCUGCUCAGUCCAUCCAAUUAAACCCAUGCACCAGGAUUUGACUAUCCUCUCUCCUCUUUUCUCCUUCCACCCUCUUCCUUCAAGCCCUCCUCAGCCCUACCAUCCACACUGAGUCAAUUAAACAAUGACAAGAAGGAUUUAAUGCCCCUCUCAGCAUGCCUCAUCUUUCUCCAAAUCCUGCCUCAAUCAAACAACAGAGAAACAGGAAAUGGCUGCUUUAGUUGGCCAAAUGUCUGUGCCAAUCCAUUCCCGCAUUCAAGCUAUGCCUGCUAAUCCGGAAUCUACAGGCAAACGCCACUAUAUAGAGCAAUGGUUGGCAACAGGUUGAAAAUGGCCGGCAAUUGAUUUAUUUUGGCCAGCAGUUUUUAUUUAUUAUCAUGUUUAUAAUCACGAAUUUGUUGGUGGGUAUAUGUUUAAAAAGUCACCAGA